CCCCUCUCAAGCCAAGGGAGAGGGGAGCGCGAACCUUGAGCUUGUCGGUGAGGUCAUGAAAAUGGAGAGGUGACAGCGGCUUUGUGAGCAGAUCGGCGAUUUGGGCAGUCGACGAAUAGGAUUCGAGCAGAGAUGAACAGAGCUGAGAUUGUCACACCACAUUAUAGGAGGCUGGGAGAUGGAAAUGCGAAGCUCACGAAACAAGGUCUUCAGCCAUACAAGUUCAGGCAGCUAGGGCUAAUGCAUGGUAUAUGAGGAGGAGCUUCAAAACUAUCAUCAAUAUAGUCAUCUAAUCCAUUACCUUCUAAGGCAGCAAGAACUUGAAAUUUCCACAAUAAGAAGCUUCCAUCUCCUAACUUUACAGUAGUGAUUUUAUUAUCUGGAUUUUUAUCACUUGUACAUUGGAAUUCGUGGUGACUAUUGAGUUGUCUUUUGUAACUUUUGUCAUUCUUCAGUAUUUUUCUUCAGGACUUCGUUAGUUAGACUGUACGCUCUGAUACCAUGAAAACAGUGCACCAAUCUUGAAUCUUGAAGUGAAUUUUGUAUUAUUGAUUCACUUACCAUAUAGUUUGCAGCCCUUUUAUAAA